GCUGAUUAAUGGGCCGGUCACACCCUGUGCAGGACCCAGUCCCGGUCAGGACACAGCAUGGACAUGAAGGCCCCCGCUCAGCUCCUGGGCCUCCUGCUGCUCUGGCUCCCAGGAGCAGCUGUGAAAUCCAGAUGACCCAGUCUCCAUCCUCGCUGUCUGCAUCUCCAGGAGACAGAGUCACCAUCACCUGCCGGGCGAGUCAGAACGUUAACACGUGGUUAGCCUGGUUUCAGCAGAAACCAGGGAAAGUUCCUAAGCUUCUGAUCUAUCGUGCAUCCACGUUGCAAACUGGGGUCUCCUCGCGGUUCAGCGGCAGUGGGUCUGGGACAGAUUUCACCCUCACCAUCAGCAGCCUGGAGCCUGAAGACGCUGCCACUUACUACUGCCAGCAAAGUAACAAUUAGCCUCG